GGCCUGCAGGGCCCGGGCCGGCCUUCGUCGCCACCCCAACAACGACGCCGCCGGUGAGAGGAAGCCGUGGCCAUGGCACACUGGCGCAACUCCACGUUCCCGUGGCAGCGCCCUGCCCGAGGCCCGGCUAAGACCCCGCUGCUUCUGAGUGCGUGCGCCGAAAACUCCCGGAGUGAUGGGCGCCGGAAGGCAUCUCACAGCGAUCGCCAGCGACGGGUCCUGACCGUCGAACCCGCCUGGAUGCCUCCACGGCGCUUGCGACCAGCCCCUGGCACUGACAACUUCCUUCGUGUGAGAAGGGCACCCGUUCGGCACCCGUUCUCACACGCGUCGCGUUCCUGGACCUCACGGCGGCGUUACCACCACGGCGGGGGUCUGUGGCGCCGGGCGCCGCACUUGCUGCCGAAGCUGUCACGAGGCCUGCCGCGUUGGCAAGUGAACAAGUCUCGAGCGUCUUCUCAAACAUCGCUGCUUCCAGGACAUCAACAACAACAACAACACGGCCAGCUCAUUGGAGAUGGACGGUGUCUGUUCUUACCCCCGACGAUCAUCUACGACAUCUACAUCGCACAGCUAUCGACCCGUACGGUUUACCCCGUAUUCUUGUACAGGGAGAGUGAGUGUUCAGGUCCAAGCGGCGUUACAGCCGUUUCAACAGGGGCAUCACGCAUGGCUGUGUCUAUCUGUUUGUGUUUCUCCCUCGCGAUGGGACUUUGUAGGAUGAACGUUGAGAUUUUUAAGGGUCUCCGGGUGACCAUUAAGUUCUGAGUUGGUCUGUAACAAGGUAGGGCACCGAUAAGGGGUUGACAGCUAUGAAAUCGACGACCUGCCGCGUGACCAGGGUGUGCACGUGGUGUUGGGGCGUGCGACUGCGUGGCAGGCCGCGGUGGCAUGCCGGGAGCCGGGAGGCCGUGGUCGCAGGUCGCCUGCGGCUGUGAAGUCCGUCACUGGUGGUGGUGGUGGUUGUUGUUGUUCUGCAUGUGCUGGAGGAGGAGGUUGUCACGUGGCUCUGUGCUGACGUGGGCUGACGUCCACUCACACAGAACGUUGGCAUGUUUAUUUAAUUCAAGUCUAUUUUUCUUGUGUAUCCGGUGCUCUGCGUGAAAGUCAAAAGCAUGCGCUAAAUAAAUAAAUCACCUCGGUUGGACACCUGGAGCAGCCGCCAACCCAUCACCCCGACUAGAAAUCCGCGGUAGCCGCCACCUCAUCACUUCGCUUACAACCCUACAGCAGCCGCCAACCCAUACCCCGGUGAGAAAACGCGGCAGCCGCCAAACUCAUCACCUAGGCAAGACACCUGGAGCAGCCGCCAACCCCCCCCGCCCCCCAAUUAGAAGUCCGCGGCAGCCGCCAACUAAUCACCUCGGUUAGAAACCUUCAGCAGCCGCCAACGUACCGCCGAGAUUAGAAAUCCGCGGCAGCCGCCAACACCACGCGGUGCUGCCAGAUCAGAGGGUAAAGGUCCUCCCCCCCGGCUUUGCAAUCGGGGGAAUGUGCAGUUAGGAACGGGGCGUAAAUACAGGAUCAGAUUCGUCGAACAGGGAGAUUUAGAUUCGGGUUUAAUCGGCACUGGAGCCGGCGACACCAAAUACAAUGGAGCAGAGGGCCCUUUGUUAAUAAAAAAAACACAGAG